rnacentral:misc_RNA from 1 species
GAUGAAGAACGUAGCGAAAUGCGAUAAGUAAUGUGAAUUACAGAAUUCAGUGAAUCAUCGAAUCUUUGAACGCACAUUGCGCCCCCUGGUAUUCCGGGGGGCAUGCCUGUCCGAGCGUCAUUACAACCCUCAAGCUCAGCUUGGUGUUGGGCCCCGCCGCCCCGGCGGGCCCUAAAGUCAGUGGCGGUGCCGUCCGGCUCCGAGCGUAGUGAUUCUUCUCGCUCUGGAGGUCCGGUCGUGUGCUCGCCAGCAACCCCCAAUUUUUUUCAGGUUGACCUCGGAUCAGGUAGGGAUACCCGCUGAACUUAAGCAUAUCAAUAAGCGGAGGA